UAGGGUUUGAUCAUGGCUCAGAGUGAACGCUGGCGGCGUGGAUAAGGCAUGCAAGUCGAGCGAUGCCCGCAAGGGCAUAGCGGCAAACGGGUGGGUAACACGUAGGAAACCUACCCUAAGGUGUGGGAUAACCUGACGAAAGACAGGCUAAUACCACAUGUGCUUACGAGAGCGCAUGCUCUUGUAAGGAAAGAUGGCCUCGACCGCAAGGUUGCUAUCACCUUUGGAGGGUCCUGCGUCCCAUCAGCUAGUUGGUAGGGUAACGGCCUACCAAGGCUUUUGACGGGUAGCUAGCCUUAGAGGGCGGUUAGCCACACUGGGACUGAGACACUGCCCAGACUCCUACGGGAGGCUGCAGUCGAGAAUAUUUGGCAAUGGACGAAAGUCUGACCAUGCGACGCCGCGUGUAGGAUGAAGGCCUUCGGGUCGUAAACUACUGUUACCAGGGACGAAGGUUUCGCUUGCGAACAGUGAGCGGAAUUUGACGGUACCUGGAGAGGAAGCCACGGCUAACUCCGUGCCAGCCGCCGCGGUAAUAC
rnacentral:rRNA from 1 species